CACGUAGGGGGCGAGCGUUGUCCGGAUUCAUUGGGCGUAAAGAGCUCGUAGGCGGCUCAGUAAGUCGGGUGUGAAACCCUCAGGCUCAACCUGGGGACGGCACUCGAUACUGCUGUGGCUAGAGUCCAGUAGAGGAGUGUGGAAUUCCCGGUGUAGCGGUGAAAUGCGCAGAUAUCGGGAGGAACACCAACGGCGAAGGCAGCACUCUGGGCUGGAACUGACGCUGAGGAGCGAAAGCGUGGGUAGCAAACAGG
rnacentral:rRNA from 1 species